CCUACGGGUGGCAGCAGUGAGGAAUAUUGGUCAAUGGACGAGAGUCUGAACCAGCCAAGUAGCGUGAAGGAUGACUGCCCUCGGGGUUGUAAACUUCUUUUAUAAAGGAAUAAAACGAGGCACGUGUGCCUUUUUGCAUGUACUUUAUGAAUAAGGAUAGGCUAACUCCGUGCCAGCAGCCGCGGUAAUACGGAGGAUCCGAGCGUUAUCCGGAUUUAUUGGGUUUAAAGGGAGCGUAGAUGGGUUGUUAAGUCAGUUGUGAAAGUUUGCGGCUCAACCGUAAAAUUGCAAUGGAUACUGGCAGUCUUGAGUACAGUUGAGGUAGGCGGAAUUCGUGGUGUAGCGGUGAAAUGCUUAGAUAUCACGAAGAACCCCGAUUGCGAAAGCAGCUUACUAAACUGUGACUGACAUUGAUGCUCGAAAGUGUGGGUAGCAAACAGGAUUAGAUACCCCUGUAGUC
rnacentral:rRNA from 1 species